GUGGGGAAUAUUCCGCAAUGGACGAAAGUCUGACGGAGCAACGCCGCGUGAGUGAUGAAGGUUUUCGGACUGUAAAGCUCUGUUGUUUAGGACGAAAGUGCCUGUUGCAAAUAGUUACAGGUAUUGACGGUACUGAACGAGGAAGCCACGGCUAACUACGUGCCAGCAGCCGCGGUAAUACGUAGGUGGCAAGCGUUGUCCGGAAUUAUUGGGCGUGAAGAGCAUGUAGGCUGGAAUCUAAGUCUGUUGUGAAAAUGCGGGGCUCAACCCCGUAUUGCGAUGGAAACUGGGUUUCUUGAGUGCAGGAGAGGAAAGGGGAAUUCCCAGUGUAGCGGUGAAAUGCGUAGAUAUUGGGAGGAACACCAGUGGCGAAGGCGGCUUCCUGGCACAAUACUGACGCUCAUGUGCGAAAGCUAGGGCAGCGAACGGGAUUAGAAAACCCUGUAGUCC
rnacentral:rRNA from 1 species